AAUUUGUGUUUUCGUUUUGUUUUCGGUUUCGCAAAUAGCAAGUGAAGAGCCCAUUACUUUAAUUUUAAUCAUUGAUCGUUUGCCCAUCGGUUGUUGUUGUGUGGCCCGGUUUAGGAGAAUUCCCACAAUUUGUUCUAAGCCCAAAUAAAAAGUAAUCAAAUAAAAGCCACAACCCCAGAGACACAAGUUCGCGAGCCGGUUUAGUCAUCCAAAAGUUCCGAGAACUGAGCGCAACGUUGAGAUACAUUCGCGUUAUUCUCAUUCCGUAUCGCUGGUCACCAGCUGUUGGCCACAAUGCCUCCGUACCUGCUGGAUAUUUGCCUUACCCUGGAGCUUCGUAGACCGCGAUAAGAUAUCGCCAACUAGUGGUGAAUAAAGCCAGAUACUCGUACUCGAAACUGCGAAAAAAAAUCCAUAUACGACAAACAAACGGAAAAGAAAAUCGCACAGUUCGGUGCCAGUGUUUAAAGUUAAAUCGAGCGCUUAUCUUAUCGGCUAGCCAUUGAUUGAGCUUUGCCUUUCCGCUCGGCUUUCUGCUCCGGGUGAAGUCAUUUGCCCACAAUUGGCCCGUUUUAGAUACUGUAUCUGCUGCGGCCGUAUCUAAUGCAGCAGCCAAAGCAGUCGCGAUAAUAACGACCUCCUUCAGUGUCAGUUGCUCUGCAAUCGCCGUCUAAAUUUAGAGCCAGAUCAGGAGAGUGGGAAAAGAUCUGGCCAAAACUAAAACCAAAACCAAACCAGACGCACUCGGAAAUCGUAAAUCGUAAAUCAAGCAGCCGGAGGAGACCAAGAUGGACAUAGAAUCCGAUUCGGACACCUCGGAGAGAUGGGAGGACUUUUUUGGCAGCUCCACCGAGUUGGCACCCUCACUGCUGGGCAUCUACGACACAUUGACAAACAGCUUUGCCGCGGGGGGCGUGGCAGCUGCUCCCACAGCGACAUCUCACGAAUCGAAGGCAUCCAGCAGCGGCGACUCGACGCCCAAGAGGAGCAACAGUAACUGCAGCAACAGCAGCAGCAGCAGCACUGCCUCAUCCACUGGCAGCUGCUCGAGUGUACCCACCAGCGAUGACCAGUCCGCCAGCUACACGCUAGCCGGCUCCAGCAAGCAUUUGAGCCACCAGGAGCCACCUGCUCCGCUGGUGGUUGCUGGACUGCGGGACGAACCGGAUGGCGCUCAGUUGAGCAGGUUGGUGCAGCGCCGGAGCCAGGAGUCGCAGAUCCACGGCAGCAGCAGCAGCAUAGCCUCGAGUGGCGGCAGCAGUCGACGGGGUAGCAACAUUCGCAUCCUUUCGCCCAAUGUGCACCGCAUCAUCACGCACUCGGAUAUCCAGCCAGUGGAGGCGGUGUCCGCGGAGGCACUGAAACAGCACCAGCAGCAAUCCCAGCGGAGUCCCACCCACGGCCGGUACAUAAAGACCGGUCAUAGCGGAACACCACCGGCCGCUAGUUCCACGCCCAAGCUCAAACUGUCGCACAUACCGCUGUCCAAGAUCACCGGCAAGUUGUCCACCCAGUCGGGCAGCGAACUGGUGUCCACCUUCGAUUCCAGCAACGAGUAUCUGAACUCGGUGGCCUUCGCCGCCUUUGAGAAAUCCAAGCCGCAGGACGAGGAUCGCACACCAACGAACAAAUCGGUACCAGGCACUCCCUUCCAUUUCGAUGGGCAUCCGUUUCAAGGACGCAAACUAACCCUGCCCCGCUACGAUUCCCAGCAGAGCAUCAAGCUGAUCGAAAUGGAGCAGCUGGCGGCCACCAGUGCACAACUGCUGCAUGCCAAGCCCGCCACGCCCGGAACUCCGGCCACGCCCACGCCCAAUGCCACAAAGCCCAAGGAGUUCGUGUGCAGUGAGCCACUGAGUCCCGUGGAUAUAGUGGCCACCAUUAACUUUGAUCUGGUGGCGCAGCAUAUGGAGCGAUUGACGCUGGCGGAUCCAGGAGAUCUGGAUCCACGGGCGGAGCUCAUUGAGGCGGUGAACAAGACACUGGUUAGCAAGCCGCUGGUCAGGAGCUCCUCCGCCGCCUGUGCCUCCACGAUCUGCAGCUCACCGCUGCUGACCUAUGCCCGCACCAAGAGCUUGGGCGCCAAGGCCAGCACUCUGGGCGGCGGAGUGCCUCUCAAGCUGCCCACUGCCGAGCAGCUGGCCGAGCUGGAGGAGGCCAACAAGCUGUCGGCGGAGAGUCUGGACAGGCUGACGGAUAUCAAGCCCAAGUUUGCCGCUCGCCUCAGUGAGCUGGCCAGGCUAAACAAUCGCCCACUGUCCUCCUCCUCCAUUUGCUCCACCUCCUCCAGUUCCAGUUCCGGGUCGGACCAGCUGCUCAAUGGCAAACUGACGGCCACUUCCUACCUGGCCAGCGUGGAAAGUCUGGCGGAGAGCGAGAACGAGCUGGGCGACCAACACCAUCCGCCAGCGAUGAGUGUGCUCGAGAAAACCUGCCUGGAGAUCAUCGACUCGGAGCGCAGCUUCGUCGAGGAUUUGGGUCAGGUCAUCAAGGGGUACCUGCUCGACUGGAAGGAGCGUGCCUGUCUGCGCGUAGACGAAUUGCAAAUACUCUUUGCGAACAUUGAAGAGAUUUAUGAAUUCAACUCGAUGCUUCUGCAGCGACUUAUCAACACGGGAAGGGAUCCCGGUAGAAUUGCCAGGUGCUUCAUUGACCUGCGCGAUGGCUUUGAUGUGUACACAACCUACUGCACAAGCUACCCGGAAGCCAUAUCGCUGCUGACCAAGUUGCUGCAGGCCACGCACACGUACUCACUGCUCGCCUCCACGCAAAAGCUGCUCCAACAUCGCCUGCCCCUGGGAUCCUAUCUGCUGAAGCCGGUGCAGCGCAUCCUCAAGUACCAUCUGCUGCUGGACAGUCUGCGCAAGCACUGCGAUGUGAAGGAGGUGGUCGAGGCGCAUGUGAUCAUGCGUCAGGUGGCGCACAACAUUGACCAGGUGAAGCGAAAGCAGGAGCAGCAGAGUCGCGUCAAGGAGCUGUCCGGCAUUCUGGACGGCUGGCUGGGACCAGAGCUCACUGUCCUGGGAGAGCUGCGCCAAGAGGGUCUGCUGAUGGAGCAGCACAACAAACAGCGCCUGGUACUCCUAUUCGCCACCAUGCUGAUCAUCACCAAGCAGAAGGAGGACGGCCGCCUGCAGUUCAAGACAUACAUUUCGCAAAACAAUCUGAUGCUGAGCGAACACUUGCCGGGUGAGCCGACCAGCUUCUAUGUCAUACCCUUCGACGAGCCGCGCCAUCAAAUCAAACUGACGGCCCGGAAUCGUGACCAGAAGCGCAUCUGGACGCAGCACAUCAAAGGUGUCAUGCUGGAGAAGCUGGACAUACCGAUGCGCGCCAAGGAGCUGGUCUAUCAGCUGGGCAACGAGGAAGUACUACCAGUGAUGCAUUCUAAAACUAAACACCCCAAAACCAAGAAACGAAAAAACUUUGACUAGAGCUUAAGGCGUUUUAAGGCUAAAUACCCCACACCCCAGAGACUGAUAACCCAACAAAACAAUAAAACGAAAAAACCAAAAAUAAAAUCCGAUCAGACAGAAACUAAGGGCUACAACUAGUUGUUUAACAAGCUAUAUCGUAAUCGUAGUGUUCGCUAAAUGUAACUCUCUGGUGUCCGAAGAGCCUAAUCGCACGCCAGAUCGCAGCACCUGGAAGUGGAGCCUUCAUUCCGGAAGCAACUCGACGCCCACAUACCUGGAGCGUAGGAAUGCCUGCCGG
rnacentral:misc_RNA from 1 species